AAUGCCUAGGAGUCUGCCUGGUAGUGGGGGAUAACGUUCGGAAACGGACGCUAAUACCGCAUACGUCCUACGGGAGAAAGCAGGGGACCUUCGGGCCUUGCGCUAUCAGAUGAGCCUAGGUCGGAUUAGCUAGUUGGUGAGGUAAUGGCUCACCAAGGCGACGAUCCGUAACUGGUCUGAGAGGAUGAUCAGUCACACUGGAACUGAGACACGGUCCAGACUCCUACGGGAGGCAGCAGUGGGGAAUAUUGGACAAUGGGCGAAAGCUUGAUCCAGCCAUGCCGCGUGUGUGAAGAAGGUCUUCGGAUUGCAAAGCACUUUAAGUUGGGAGGAAGGGUUGUAGAUUAAUACUCUGCAAUUUUGACGUUACCGACAGAAUAAGCACCGGCUAACUCUGUGCCAGCAGCCGCGGUAAUACAGAGGGUGCAAGCGUUAAUCGGAAUUACUGGGCGUAAAGCGCGCGUAGGUGGUUUGUUAAGUUGGAUGUGAAAUCCCCGGGCUCAACCUGGGAACUGCAUUCAAAACUGACUGACUAGAGUAUGGUAGAGGGUGGUGGAAUUUCCUGUGUAGCGGUGAAAUGCGUAGAUAUAGGAAGG
rnacentral:rRNA from 1 species